GACGAACGCUGGCGGCGUGCUUAACACAUGCAAGUCGAACGAAGUGGCGAACGGGUGAGUAAUACGUGGGUAACCUGCCCUCCUUUUUGGGAUAAGCCUUGGAAACGGGGUCUAAUACCGAAUAAAGGGGGAUGGGCUUGCGGCCUAUCAGUUUGUUGGUGGGGUGAUGGACUACCAAGGCGGUGACGGUUAACCGGCGUGAGAGGGUGACCGGACACAAGGGGACUGAGAUACGGCCCAGACUCCUACGGGAGGCCGCAGUUGGGGAUAAUGCACAAGGGGCGAGAGCCGGAUGCGGGGACGCCGCGUGGUGGAUGAAGGCUUACUGGUUGUAAACCUCUUUCGCUAUCGAGCGGGUAGGUGGAGAAGAAGCGCCGACUAACUACGUGCCAGCAGCCGCGGUAAUUC
rnacentral:rRNA from 1 species